UACGUAGGGUGCGAGCGUUGUUCGGAAUUACUGGGCGUAAAGGGCUCGUAGGUGGCCAACUAAGUCGGACGUGAAAUCCCUCAGCUUAACUGGGGAACUGCGUCCGAUACUGGAUGGCUCGAGUUUGGGAGAGGGAUGCGGAAUUCCAGGUGUAGCGGUGAAAUGCGUAGAUAUCUGGAGGAACACCGGUGGCGAAGGCGGCAUCCUGGACCAACACUGACACUGAGGAGCGAAAGCCAGGGGAGCAAACGGGG
rnacentral:rRNA from 1 species